rnacentral:rRNA from 1 species
GAUGAACGCUAGCUACAGGCUUAACACAUGCAAGUCGAGGGGCAGCAGGGAUUUAGCUUGCUAAAUCCGCUGGCGACCGGCGCACGGGUGCGUAACGCGUAUCCAACUUUCCCGUUACUCAGGGAUAGCCUUCCGAAAGGGAGAUUAAUACCUGAUGGUGUUUGAAAUUCGCAUGUUCUUCAAACUAAAGAUUUAUCGGUAACGGAUAGGGAUGCGUGACAUUAGAUAGUAGGCGGGGUAACGGCCCACCAAGGCGACGAUCAGUAGCCGGUCUGAGAGGAUGAACGGCCACAUUGGGACUGAGAUACGGCCCAGACUCCUACGGGAGGCAGCAGUAGGGAAUUUUGCGCAAUGGGCGAAAGCCUGACGCAGCAACACCGCGUGAAUGUUAAGCCCUUCGGGGUGUAAAGUUCUGUCAGUAGGGAAGAACAAAUGACUGUACCUACAAAGGAAGCACCGGCUAACUCCGUG